CUACACAUUCACACAAUUACACUUGGUUUUCAGCUGCAAGUUCCAAACUUUCCAUUUAAAAGUAAACCAUGAUAUGUAAGGCACAAAUAUAAUUCAACACUUCAUACAUAUGUGUCAAUAACAAGAUCACUUCUGGAGGAACACAAUACUUUAUCCAGCAGUGAACGGGAGCAUAAAUAUGCUUCUAAAACAGAAACUUCAUACAAAAGUUAACAACAAUGCUAUCCAUCAAGCAUUAACAUAGAAAUGAAAAUCAAUAGUUCUAGAUGGCACCAACCUGGACUGCAGAAGAAUUUGUGCAGCGUAUCAGCCUGAAAGAAAGUGUUGUACAAUAAAUAAUCAAUAUGUAUAUUGUCAGUUUUCUAGUUCUUAAAAAAAAGUCACAUAUUUUUUUUACAUAUGUGAAAAUUUUAGAUGUAAUAAGAGGAGAUGCAUGUGUGAAUUUGCUUUCACAGGUGAACAUGGCACUCUACUAUAAGACAUUAACAAGGCCAGCAAGACUACAUGUAUAUAGCAUUCUCAAAAGUCAUCUUCAGAACACCAUGACACAAACUUGCAAGCACAAAUAAGAAUGGCAAUAAGAAAACCAUGAUAUAAUAAAAAUAAGAGGAAGAUGCAGUGCGUAACAAAAAUGUUCUGCUAGAGUAACUAUCAACUGACAAGGCACAGAUAUACCAAGAAAUCAGACUCCCAUUGUAGUAGUUUUUGGUAAUACCUAUUGGGAUUUAAUUCAGCCUGCUUGUUGCCAUGAGAUUGGCCUUUAUCAUCCCCCUCCACUUGCAUUUACAAAAGUAAAGAGUAGUCAGAACCUUGAGAUAAUGUACUGGUUGUAGCAAAGAAGUGUUCAUAGCAAACAAAACACAUAGAGGAAAAGUUAAAAGAGAUACUAGAGAAGGAGCACCCUCAUCUCCCUACAUGGCAAACUAUCCAGUAGAUUUUCAUUUGAUAAAGAUCAGCAACAAUGCACGUACAUCGCCUACUUGCCUUUGAGCUGAGCCGCAGUAACGAGAAGCCUCAGCACCGGCUCUAGCACCUACUAGGAGAGAAGGUUUAGCAAAUAACACUACUGAGCUACAUACAGUAGCAGCAAACUAUCCAAUCCAUCGCCAUGGCAUAGCAACCAAAACCAGAUCUUGGGCAAGAGGAGAAGAAGCUACAAACCUUAGAUACUCCCAAGAAAAUGUAUUGAAGUUCAAUCCACUUGUGGAAGUGAGGCAGUGAGGCUGAAUUCGCCAUGGACUUCUGUUCCACCUACAUAUAUGAGUUAUAAGAAAUAAUUCUUGAAAGAAUUAUACAGUCAAGUAGUUUCAGUUCACAGCUAGAUCAAUUUUAGUGUGAUUCAUUCCUUGUGCGCAUGGUCUGCACUUCCACAACACCAUUUGAUAGAGCAAAGAUAACACUCUGAAAUGUGAUGGAUUACCAUAUAGUUUCAGUUUCACUCUCUUAUCUAGGUAUUGGUUCGGUUCAUUUUCAUUGGCUGAAAACUAAAGCACCUAGAAGUGUGUGUUUAACUAUUGGUUUUGAUGGCUCUCUCGAAUGUAAAUUGUCUCCAUGAGGAUAGCUUCACCUAUACAUACCUAGACAUAGCUUCCCUAUUAAUCACCUACAGACAAACUAGUUUCCAGCUAAGUAAUAUAUUGUCCACUGAAAACAGGGUGCAACCUGGGACCCUAAAAAUAUUUAUUUCAUGGCAGGGUUAGUUUACAUGGAUCCACCUGUUUUAACCAAAAAGUUGGCCAAUUGAUUGAAAAAUUGUACUGAUUUAUAAACUGAAGAUACCAGCAGAUUUUCUUGAACCUGAUAGCAUACAAACAAUGGGUUGGGCAAAAAUACCAUUGCUGAACUGAAAGACAAAAGCUCAGCAGCUUCUACUCAGCAAAUGAUUGACAACCUAGACAUGUAGGACUGCUUAACAAUUUCAGUGUAGCUCUCAGUUAUCUGUACACAUUAUUUAGGCAAUCAUCGAGCAAUCUCUCGGUACUACCACUUCACCUUUAACCCCCAUCAACCUUCAUUCCCCUUUUAACACUCUCUUACAUGUAUGAGCAGGAUAGCAUGUUAACUCAGAAAUUCUCCCUUAAGCAUAUAAAUCGAACCAGAACACAAAGAAAACGAAACCCUGAAACCCAAUACAAAUUAACUUUGUACAAGUUGCAGAACUCGUUGAUUUGUUCUACUACUAUCACACAGAAGUGGACACAUUAAUUCAUGACAGGGAGGAGAAGAAUCUAGGGUUACCUUGGAAUAAGUGAUAGAUCGACACUUAUCGCUCAGUAGCUACAGGAAAAAAUACAUAAAAGUUUAGAACACGAGAAUCACAACUUUGGGGAUCGGAAGAAACAAAAAGCGAUCGGCAGAUCUAGGAGGAAAAGAGCAAUAGCAGUAGGUACAGAGCACACCUAGCGGUAGCCUUGCACAGUGAAAGGCGCGGUAGGUAGAGGGCGCUGUGAAAGGGAGCGAGUGGUGGACGAGAUUGACAUCGGUGGAAGAGUUUGGCAUGGCGGCGAGAUGGCAAAGAGAAAGCGGCGGCGGCAUGGUGCAGUGGCAGACGAUUUUAGGAGUUGGUGGUAGAUCGAGGGCGUUGGCGGCGGCCACGGAUCUACGAAGUCGUGGUCCGGGUUACAGCUGCACGAGGGCGGAGGGUCGAGGCAGCGGUGACGAGGGUCGAGCUUCAGGCUGGCCUUGGGCUAAGGGCGGCGGUGGUAAUGGUGGAGCUUCGGGUCGGGCAGCCGCGACGAGGGCGGAGCUUACCGACAGUGGAGAUGACGGAGCUUUGGCCUGGCCUUGUGCUAGGGCUGGGCGAAGAUUAGGAUGGAGUACGGGCGGCGGUAUCGGCGAAGCUUCGGGUGGCGGCGGGGUCAUGGCGGCGGCGACGCUUGGCUGCUUGGGUCUCUACUGGCUGAAACCCUACGGUGGGUGAAGG
rnacentral:lncRNA from 1 species